rnacentral:lncRNA from 1 species
ACGCUUCUGACCGAUCUCCGCUUUCAGAUUAUCCAUGUGUCUUAACCAAAGUACAAACGACCAUGCUAGACGCAGUUGUUCGUUUCACUCCCUUUUUUGCCUGGACCGCCCUUUCGGGUUUUCAGUCCACCGGGAUACUCUUUUUUGCCCAAGCCGCCCUUGUGGGGUUUUCGACUUGCCGGGUGUACAGUUUUUUUCCUUUUUAUCCCUAAUUUUUUCCCGAACCUUUUUCAUUUUUUUUUGGUUCGCCGGGAUGC